GAUGAAUGCUAGCGGUGUGCCUGAGAUAUGCAAGUCGAGCGAUUAUUUUGCCGCAAGGUGAGAUAGUAGCGGCGGACGGCUGAGUAAUGUACAGGAAUCUGCCCCUUAGUGGAACAUAGCUCCGGGAAACCGGGGGUAAUUUUCCAUGGUUCCCGAUUUUUUCGGGAUAAAAGCCUUUACCGGUUGCUAAGGGAUGAGCCUGUAUCCUAUCAGGUAGUUGGUGGGGUAAAAGCCUACCAAGCCUAUGACGGGUAGCUGAUCUGGGAGGAUGAUCAGCCAGAGGGGGACUGAGACACGGCCCCCACUCCUACGGGAGGCAG
rnacentral:rRNA from 1 species